AAAAAGAUAAGCUAAGUCUAAGCUAAUGGGUUCAUACCCCGUUAAUGAAAUUAUUUUCUCUUUUUU
rnacentral:tRNA from 1 species